rnacentral:tRNA from 1 species
AGGGCUGUAGUUAAAAAUAACAUUUGACUUGCAUUCAAAAAGUAUUGAAUAAAUCAAUCUGCCUUG